GAAACAGAUAUAAAUUGAUUUCAUUUCCAAGGGCUUUUAAGAAAUGUAGCUUUAUUUUAGGUUGCAGCUAAUUUUGAAUUGUUCCUUUUAGCAGAAGCUUAAAACAUAGUUAAAAAAAAAUUAAAGAUGAGAGUUUCAAUGUUGCAAUCUAGGGAAAAAUUGCAGUGUAACAGUGAAGCAUUUUCCCUUUUUCUUUACUUUUUUUUCUCUUUUUUUGGUCAUGGGGAGCGGGGAAAUGCCAUCAACACUCUCUCUGCCAUAUGCUUCAACUUUCAUGUCUGUUUUGCCAUCAUCUAUUCCAUUAACAUUAUGAUUAAUGAAACCUCACUAGAAUUUCAAAUAUAUUGAAAAGUAGCCAAUGCCAGCUCUUUGGAGGCUACAAUGAAAAUAAAUAACAAUAAAAACAGGGUGACUUAGGCUUUUGAAGUCUUUAAAGAAACCAUGACUCUGAUCUUUACUACUGCUGCAGAAGAGAGGACAACACUCCACAUUUCUGGCAUUGUAAGUGACAACACUGCAACUGAAAGAAAGCUUGAAUUUCUGCGAGCAGCUUUGGGAUACAGGACUCCUGCUGAGCUCACCAGUUCCUUGCUCUACACAGCUGCUUUCUCAGCUGGGGUUUUGAAAUUAGCACUGUGAGAAAAGACAGAAAUGACCAGGAUGCAUCUUGCUCACUAUGAGAAAAAGAGUAACAUGCAGUCCACGAGCUGGAGAGCCAAUCUGGUACUUUAAAAGGGAAGAUUCUUGCUUUCUUGAAGCAACAUAGCAUCUCAGGGUGGUGGUUGAGUACCAUAAAAACAGAGAUGUAUGUUCUCUACAUGCUGGAAGCAGUCAUCCUGUUGCUAAGGAAACAGCCUCACUCAGCAAGGGUCACCUUUGGAAACAACCGCAAGACUUCAAAGCAGAUAAAUAGAGAAAUACCAAGUCCCGAACUUCCUAGCUAAUGUUGUCUUCUGUUUUAAAUAUCCUUUUCAACAAAGGUUUGCUUAUGUGAUUUCUGUUUAGUGGGCAGUAGCAAGGCAAAAUUGAAUAUGUAGUAAGUCGAGCCCAGUAUCUUUCAAGCUCUGGCUGUUGGAGAUCUGUGGCUUUUGGUAGAUGCUUUGAGUGUGGGAUUGUGCAGGAACAGCAGGAUGGAGAUGGACUGACAUCAGGUUUACAAAGAGACGCUGAAUUUAUGACUUCGUUUGAAGGAAAGGUUCCACUCAUUAAAAAAUGCAGAGUCUUAACUCAUAGAAGCAUAUGUCAUUACUCAUUUGUCCACAUUAGUGAGAUUUUCUAAUUUGUGAAAAGUCUUGUCAUAUCUUAGGUUUAUGCACAUUUUUGUAUUACUGAAGCAGACUUCAUUCGUGCAUCCAUUUAUUCAUUCAUUUGUGAUAUAUCUUUGAUUUCCUACUGUUUCAGGUACUCUGGGGAUAAGAAGUGAAUAGAACAUAUUUAAGGUCUGGGGGACUCAAUCUGAAGAAGAAAGCAGAUAUGGAAACAAAGCAGUGGAAUUACUUGCAGAGGGGACACAAGGAGAUGCUUAUAAUUUUGUCCUGAAGAGGCCAUGAGGAUAAAUUUGCCUGACCUUCAGAGUGCCCUUCUUGGGAAUGCUUCUUCUUUGUUGGUUCUACCAUAUUUUUACAAAUAACAAGAAAUAUCAGGUUUUGGGGUACAUGUGAAGAACAUGCAAGAUGGUUGCAUAGGUACACACGUGGCAGUGUGCUUUGCUGCCUUCCUCCCCUUCACCUAUAUUUGGCAUUUCUCCCCUUGCUAUCUCUUCCCAACUCCCCACUCCCUGCUGUCCCUCCCCUAUUUCCCCCCAACUGCCCCCAGUGUGUGAUGCUCCCCUCCCUGUGUCCAUGUGUCCUCAUUGUUCAACACCUGCCUAUGAGUGAGAACAUGUGGUGUUUGAUUUUCUGUUCUUGUGUCAGUUUGCUGAGAAUGAUGGUUUCCAGGUUCAUCCAUGUUCCUGUUUGAUUUUUUAAUUGCAUUGAAUUCUUUAGCCAAUUUAGCAAUCACUGCAUGAAUAGAAUAUUUCCAUGCAACCCAAAACAACUAUCAUAAAGAAACUGCAAAAGCAAAGUAAACUCACAAUGACAAGGGAAGUGAUGAUUUUUUUUAAUUAUAGGAGACUUGAUGUACUUUACAUCAAGUUAGUAGAAAACUAAUGUGAUGAUUGGUCUACAACUGAUUAGACUUUCUAUGAAUUCUUUUACCCUGUCAUCCAGUUCAUAAUUCUCAUGCUCUUUAUCUCAAAUUUAGUCAUCGUAAUAAAGCUCAUGGCACUAAGUCCAUGGGAGUACGUAUUUCUCUCACCUACACCAUUAUAUCAUCUCAAGCUAUAACAUUUCCUAGCAAGCCAACUUUCUUGCAAGUCAAUAUGUGUUGUUGACUUGAAUUCGUGCUUAUAUGUUUUGAUGGGUCAGUUCUACUUCCUUCGUGGUAAAAAGUUUGUUGUUAUUUAAUUUGAUUUAAUAUUCUAUUGACAUUAAGUAAUUUUACUAAUAUGGAGAUAUCUGUCCAAUGUUAUAAUGAUGGAUUAUUUUUACAACAAAAAUGCAUGGCUAAUUUGUUUUUUUAAAUAAAGACCAAUAUAAUAAAGUCUAAAAUAAACAAGAAGUCUAAUAGGAAAUGAUGAAGAGAUUUAUUAGCUUUUAUUAUGGUCUCAAAAUAUGGUCUAAUUAACAGCACGGAACUCAGUCAAUGCUACAGUCAUAGUGGCUAAAAUAGAAUAAACAAAGGAACAAAUGAUUAUGUUAUUUCUUGCCAUCAAUUAUCAUGCCAUAUAUAUAUUUCACAUCCAUUUGUACUCUGUUCCCAAAAUAAAGUUUUAUGUUGACUGAAAUGUAAACUCAUCCUUUAAAAUUAAGACAUUACCACUGACUCCACAGAAAUACACAUAGACACACACACACACAUGGUGACUAUUAUGAACACCUCCAUGCACAGAAACUAGAAAAUUUAGAAGAAAUGGAUAAAUUCCUGGACAUAUUUAACCUCUGAAAACUGGACCAGGAAGAAAUUGAAUCCUGAACUCAGAAAUAAGUUCUGAACUUGAAUGAGUAAUAAAGAUCCCAUCAACCACAAAAAGCCCAAGACUAGAUGGAUUCACAGCCAAAUUCUACCAGAGGUAUAAAUAAGAGCUGGUACCAACCUUGCUGAACUGUUCCAAAAAAUUGAGGAACAAAGACUUCUCAUCAACUCAUUCUAUGAGGCUAGUAUCCUGAUAUCAAAACCUGGCAGAGACACAGCAGAAAAAGAAAACUUCAGGCCAAUAUUUUUUUAUGAACAUAGAUGCAAAAAUUCUCAACAAAAUAUGAGCAAACUGAAUCCAGCAGCACUUAAAAAAGUGAAUCCACCACAAUCAAGUAGGCUUUAUCCCCAGACUAUGAGGCUGGUUCAACAUAUGCAAAUCAAUAAAUGUGAUUCAUUACAUCAACAGAGCUAAAGACAAAAGCUAUAGUUACUCAAUAGAUGCAGAAAGACUUCCAAUAAAAUUCAACAUUCCUUCAUGUUAGAAACCCUUUACAAACCAGGCACUGAAAGAACAUAUUUCAAAAUAAUAAGAGUCAUCUAUGAUGAACCCACAGCCAACAUUAUACUGAAAGGAGAAAAACUGGAAGUAUUCCCCUUGAAAACUGGCAAUAGACAAGGUUGCCCUCUCUCAUCACUUCUAUUCAACAUACUAUUGAAAAUCUUAGGCAGAGAAAUCAGGCAAGAGAAAUAAAUAAUGGGCAUCCAAAUAAGAGAAUUCAGAGUAUCCCUGUUGGCAGACAACAUGAUUCUAUAUCUAGAAAACCCAAUAGUCUCUGCCCAAAAGCUCCUUGGGCUGAUAAACCACUUCAUUAAAGUUUCAGAAUACAAAAUCUACAUACAAAAAUCAGUAGCAUAUCUAUAUCUCAACAACUUCCAAAUAGAGAGCCAUAUCAGCAACACAAUCAGAUUCACAAUUGCCAAAAAAAAAAAAAAGAAUAAAACACCUGGGAAUACAGCUAACCAUGGAGGUUAAACAAGAAUUUCUUGCUCUCCAGCAAGAAUUACAAAAUACUGCUGAAAGAAAUCAUAGAUGACACAAACAAAUUGAAAAACACUCUAUGCUCAUGGAUAGGAAGAAUCAAUAUUGUUAAAAUGGCUGUUCUACCCAAAGCAAAUUACAGUUUCAAUGCUAUUCCUCUUAAACUACCAAUGACAUUAUAUUAGUCUGUUCUCACACUGCUAUGAAGAAAUGCCCAAGACUGGGUAAUUUUUAAAGGGAAGAGGUUUAAUUGACUCACAGUUCUACAUUUUUGGGGAGGCCCCAGGAAACUUACAAUCAUGGUGGAUGGCAAAAGAGAAGCAGGCACCUUCUUCACAAGGUGGCAGGAUGGAAAAAUGCCUAGUGAAGGGGGAAGAGCCCCUUAUAAAACCAUCAGAUCUUAUGAGAACCUCAUUCACUAUCAUGAGAACAGCAUGGGGGGAACUGACACCAUGAUCCAAUUACCUCCACCUGGUCCCACACUUGACACAUGGGGAUUAUGGGAUUAUGGAAAUUACAAUUCAAGAUGAGAUUUGGGUGGGGAGACAAAGACUAACCAUAUUGAACAUUCUUCCCAGAAUUAGAAAAAAAUUUUUUUUUAAUUUACAUGGAACCAAAAAGAGCCUGAAUAGCCUAAGCAAAAGGAACAAAGCUGGAGACAUCAUGCUAUUUUACUUGAAGCUACUGUAGGGAUACAGCAACCAAAACACCAUGGUAUUGGUACAGAAACAGACACAUCACCAUUGGAACAGAAUAGAGAACCCAGAAAUAAAGCCACACACCUACAGCCAUCUGAUCUUGGAAAAAACUGACAGAAAUAAGCAAUGAAGAAAGGACUCCUCAUUCAACAAAUGGUGCUGGGAUAACUGGCUAGUAAUAUGCAGAAGCUUGAAAUUAGACCCCUACCUUGCAACACAUACAAAAAUCAGCUCAAGAUCAAUCAAAGACUUAAAUGGAAAACCUAAAACUAUAAAAACCGUGGAAGAUAACCUAGGAAAUAUCAUUAUGGACAUAUAGGACUUGGCAAAGAUUUCAUGAUGAAGACACCAAAAGCGAACAACAAAACCAAAAAUUGAAAAAUGGGAUCUAAUUAAAUAAAAGAACUUCUGUACACUGAAAGGGAUUAUCAACAGAAUAAACAGACAAACCACAGAAUGGGAGAAAAGUUUUGCAAGCUAUUGACAAAGGCCCAAUAUUCAGAAUCUACAAGAAAUUGAAACAAUUUUACAGAAGAAAAAGAAACAACCCCAUUAAAAAGUGAGCAAUGGACAUGAACAGACACUUCUCAAAAGAAGACAUUCAUGCAGCCAAAAAACAUGAAAAAAUGCUCAACAUCGUUGAUCAAUAGAGAAAAGCAAAUAAAAAGCACAAUGAAGUACCAUCUCAUACCAGUCAGAAUGGCUAUUACUAAAAAGUCAGAGAAUAACUGAUGCCGGGGAAGUUAUAGAGAAGAAGCAAUGCUUCUAUACUGCUGGUGUAAAUGUAAAUUAGUUCAGCCAUUGUGGAAAGCAACAUGACAAUUCCUCAAAGAACUUAAAACAGAAUUACCAUUUGGUAUAUAUAUAUAAUCUAGCAAUCCUAUCACUGGGUGUAUACCCACAGGAAUAGAAGUUGUUCUUAAAGACACAUGCAUGCAUAUAUUAAUUGUGGAACUAUUUAUAAUAGCAAAAAUAUUGAAUCAACCUAAAUGCCCAUCAGUGACACACUGGAUAAAGAAAAUGUGUUACAGACAGCAUGAAAUACUAUACAGCCAUAGAAAGGACAAGAUCAUGUUCUUUGCAGCAACAUGGUCAGAGCUGGAGGCUAUUAUCCUCAGCAAAGUCACACAGGAACAGAAAGAUAAAUACCACAUGUUUGCAUUUAUAAGUGGGAGCUAAACAAGGACAUGUGGAUACUAGAAGAGGAACAACAGACACUGGGGCCCACUUGAAGCUGAAAGGUGGGAAGAGAGAGAGGAUCAGAAGAAGUAUCUAUCAGGUACUAGGCUUAUUACCCAAGUGAUGAAAUUAUCUGUAUACCAA